CAACGCCAUUGCUCCUGGAGUGAAAACAUCUCAACUAUUGGUGUGCAGUGGAUGACGCACAGUAGCAAAACUGAACUAUAAACAAUGUGAACAACAAGAGAGAUGAAGAACCUUAUUUCCAUUCUUCUCAGCAGUUUCUCAGGCUUCUGCCUGGUUAGAAAUUUUCCAUUUUCUCUUUGACUGAAUCUGAGACCUACAAACAUACACAGAGUUUUGACUGUAUAAUGUGGGAGCCACCCAGGACCCAAGGCCAGACUGCUUUGGCUUCUGAACUAGGCAGACCAUGGCAGUUCAGAGAAAGAAUAUACAGAUAAGAAGAAAUAAGCAACCUUGAAAAAGUAGCUGAACACAUUCCAAGACUCCUUCUUUAGCUGCGUUCGGGCUAGGGAAGCAAAGACUCUUUUUCGGAUCUCUCUCUUGGGGUUACCCUGACCCUCAGGAACCCCGAGAGAGAAACCCACACCCACAGUGUGGGGUGCUGGCUCCUGGAAAUCCCCUGAAAAUCUCCCAGGGACUCUUUCAGACACUGACAGGUCUCAAGUCAAUUGGUCCCCAAAGUUUUGGCCUCAUGGUCCUAAAGCAUUGCACAGGGAAGAGGUGAAGGCCAGGACCCAAUCCCAAAGUCAUGCAGCACCUGCUGAGGCCUUGGCCAGCCUUGGUGGGACCCAGGGCCUGAGCUACAGCCACACCUGGGCAGAGGCGUGCAGGGACCUGCCAUGUCCAGAACCCCCGGGAUCCUCGUCUUGCCCGAGGCAGGGCUGUAACCUGGGCUGCCUGAGCAGGGCUGCAGGUGAGUGACUGCUUUUUAUUGUGUUUUCUGGGCUUGUAGACGCCACUGAUGGUAUCAUGGAAAUGCAGCUGAGCCCAAC
ensembl:lncRNA